rnacentral:rRNA from 1 species
AGUGAACGCUGGCGGUAGGCCUAACACAUGCAAGUCGAACGGCAGCACAGUAAGAGCUUGCUCUUACGGGUGGCGAGUGGCGGACGGGUGAGGAAUACAUCGGAAUCUACUUUUUCGUGGGGGAUAACGUAGGGAAACUUACGCUAAUACCGCAUACGACCUACGGGUGAAAGCAGGGGAUCUUCGGACCUUGCGCGAUUGAAUGCGCCGAUGUCGGAUUAGCUAGUUGGCGGGGUAAAGGCCCACCAAGGCGACGAUCCGUAGCUGGUCUGAGAGGAUGAUCAGCCACACUGGAACUGAGACACGGUCCAGACUCCUACGGGAGGCAGCAGUGGGGAAUAUUGGACAAUGGGCGCAAGCCUGAUCCAGCCAUACCGCGUGGGUGAAGAAGGCCUUCGGGUUGUAAAGCCCUUUUGUUGGGAAAGAAAAGCAGCAGGUUAAUACCCCGCUGUUCUGACGGUACCCAAAGAAGAAGCACCGGCUAACUUCGUG